GGAGGGGACUUUGUACUGAGCCUUGGAGAAGACAAUGGACGGUUGAUCUUUCUCCGCGUUGAACCAUCGAGGCGAACGGUUGCUUGCUCUCUUCUGUGUGAUCCUUACCAGUAUAUAAUUCGCUUCAUCCUUCUGAGCUGGGCGUUAUAUCAAAUCAGCUCAACUCAAACCAUCUAAGCUCAGAAGCAUAAGGAGCUUUUCUUUAUAUUUUCAUCGCUCUCUCGUCUUGGACUACGAAAACUAGUCGACUAGAGAGAAGAAGUGGAAAAAUUUAGAACGAUUUUAAUGGCAGAAGCCGAACACAACACGAGGCACGAAGCGUUUUGAGCCGCCGAUAAUCACACGGAGUCCAUGGUUAUUAUACUUUAUAAAACACAAUAGCCUGUAUACCCAUAUUUACAAGAAGAGAACAUUGAUCUUUCAUAAGAGGAGAAAGAAUCCCAUAUUAACGAACUGCAACUAUUUGACGCUCGACAAAUUUAAAUGCCGAAAAACAAAUAAAUAAAAGCUGCGCAUUUAACAAGAGCAAUAUUGGCCAGGCACCACCGCGAGCUCCUUCAAACUUGGAUUUUAUGGUUUAAAUUGCAAAAGAAAAAGACACAGUGAUGGAAGACGAGGAGAAUGAACGUCCUAAUAUUUUUGAUGCUCCAAUAAUAAUAGAUAACACUCCCAUGGAAAACGUAGAAGACGUAUUUAUUGUAAAUAUUGACAUACAACAAAUGUUGCGUAUGCAAGCAGCAUCGAAUGUUAGUCAAAGACAGAUACUGCAACGAUUAAUAAAAAUAGAAAACGCGUUGAAACACCGCGCUUUAAGUCCUAAUAAAAUUAAGGACAAUCUUAUAAAACCAUAUUUACCAUUAACAACAGUUGCAGUCGUGAAGGAAUUUGAUGCGUUAUUGAAAGCAUCAGAUGAUGCUGUGAUACAGUUCAAUUUUUAUCAAAAACGGGUGAUAAUAACGCCAAAGAUAACAUUUUUCGUAUUCUUAAAAAAACAUUUAUAAAUCAAUACUCCAUGAGAUGUUCCUGGAAAGGACUGCGACAAAAUUUUCAAGUUUCAAACUUACAUCUCAUACAAAUUAUAAAAAAAGAGAUAAUACUAUGUUACGCGACGUUCACUGAAGCAGAAUUUGAGAACGUUGUUGCAGAGUGGCUACGCUUUGCGAAACAACGAAAUGAUAGAGAACGAGCAACGGAAAAUAGUGAUGUCGCAAAUGUUGUCUGAAAUGUUCAAAAUAAUUAGAAUUAAACGUUCAAAAUAAAAGUUCAAAUUAAAAGUUCCUAUA